AAUUACUUACUUUCUUCUGCAACCUGCAUAGUAACUGACCAAUCCCCAAUCGAAGAUAAACGGCAUGGUUUUUAACUAUUUUGCUCCCUCCCGUCUCUUAUUAAGAGUGUAAAUCCUACAGGAAAGUUACAAGGUCACUUUUAUUUACCUCAACAUUGUGAUAAUUUCAAUUAUGUCAUCACAUUAUGACUUCAUGGCAAGGCUGUCAGAAGAUACAAAAGUUACUUUCAAACUUCAGCAGCAUGGUCCACUUACAACAGGACUCUCUGCCUUUCACCAUCUUCUCUUUUUUUCUAAAGAUAAGGAAGCUUUGGGGGCUCAGUUGCUUUUGAGAUUAUUCUGAGAAGGCUGACACACCACACCAGCAAAAUGGAACCCAUGUUGGAAGCACCAGCCAUUAUGGAGAGAACCUGAAGUAAAUUACUUGCUCUUCUUAUGCAAUCCUCCAGAGAAAUCAAGCAGCCCAAGGAACAAGGAAAUCAAGGAAAGUCCAAUUCCUUGCCCAAGUCAAACAAGUAACCCAACUGUAAAAGGGUAUGAGGACGAAGAGAAGAAGAAGGAAGACCUACGAAAAGACUGUGACAGUAAUCCAGGUGUGAAACCAUUGGGGCAUGGACAAGGAGCUUUACAGUCUCAGGAAACAGGAGGUGACAGAUCUGGCAGAUAUUAGUAGGAUGGAAAUUGCAUACUUUGGCAGUCACAUUUAUGAAGCAACAGCUGGUCAUCCACUAGACUGCCAAGAUCUGUGGCCUCUGAAACAGGAGUGACACAACAAUCUUGAAGGGAGAGAGGAAGAACAGUUGAUGGACAGGCAAGACAAUCUGGAUGAAAGACCAAGACUUUUGAUUACUGUAUAAAAGGGAUGGGGAAUUGAGUUGCAGGACUCAUUGUCGUCAGACUUAAGACACCCUGCUGACUUCGCUCGGACUCAACUCUUCCCCCCUCCCCCCCAAGUGACUCAGACUCAAUUCAUGACUUGGAACUCACCCACUCUCCCCUUUUUUUCUGGAGAUAAAAGCUUGUUUUUAAAAGGGGCUCGCUCAGACUUGGGGCUUGGGACUCAGGACUUGGUACCAAAGACUCAAACUGAGUUGGGACUUGGGCCCAAAGAUUUGCUAACAUCCCUGCUAUCAUAAAAAGGGCAAAGAAAACCAGCAUCUGUUAUUGACAAUAUAGUACAAUAAGUUAUACACGGGUUCAAUGCAAACAAUAGAACGACAUAUGUUAAAUCAAACAGUAUCAAAAAUUGAGUUUUUGAGAUAUAUUCCUGGUUUUGGUACUUCUUCAGAAUCUAGUCAUUCUAAAACUGAAACACACCCAAUCAAGAUUACAAGUCUUAAUUUACAAUGUACUUGCCAAAUGGGUAAAGGCUAUGUGCACUCACUGGGUCCCACUGUGUAAUCAUUCUUUACAUACAUUUGUCAGGCGUGUAGUAGGAAUUGUGGAGUGUGUUUUACAAUGUCUAAAAGUUAGAUUCCAAAGGGAGCAUGCCCUCUUGAGACAUGUAAUA